rnacentral:rRNA from 1 species
UACAGAGACUGCAAGCGUUAUUCGGAUUCAUUGGGCGUAAAGGGUGCGUAGGUGGCGCCGUAAGUCGGGUGUGAAAUUUCGGAGCUUAACUCCGAAACUGCAUUCGAUACUGCGGUGCUUGAGGACUGGAGAGGAGACUGGAAUUCAUGGUGUAGCAGUGAAAUGCGUAGAGAUCCAUGAGGAAGACCAGUGGCGAAGGCGGGUCUCUGGACAGUUCCUGACACUGAGGCACGAAGGCCAGGGGAGCAAACGGG